ACKGCUCAGUAACACGUGGCUAACCUACCCUCAAGACAGGGACAACCCCGGGAAACUGGGGCUAAUCCCAGAUAGAUGAGAACUCCUGGAACGGGUUCUCAUCCAAAAGGCACCAAGAUCAUGCUUCUUGGCGUCGCUUAAGGAUGGGGCCGCGACCGAUCAGGCUGUUGGUGAGGCAACGGCUCACCAAACCUUUAACCGGUACGGGCCGUGGGAGCGGGUGCCCGGAGAUGGGAACUGAGACAAGGUCCCAGGCCCUACGGGGCGCAGCAGUUACGAAAACUUGUCAAUGCACGAAAGUGUGAACGGGCUACCCCGAGUGCCGUCCGCUGAGGAUGGCUUUUCUCCGCUGUAAGGAAGCGGAGGAAUAAGGAGAGGGCAAGUCUGGUGUCAGCCGCCGCGGUAAUACCAGCUCUCCGAGUGGUAGGGAUGAUUAUUGGGCUUAAAGCGUCCGUAGCCGGCCUCUCAAGUCUCUCGUUAAAUCCAGCGAUUCAAUCGUUGGACUGCGGGAGAUACUGUGAGGCUAGGGGGCGGGAGAAGCCGACGGUAUUUCCGGGGUAGGGGUAAAAUCCUAUAAUCCCGGGAAGACCACCAGUGGCGAAGGCGGUCGGCUAGCACGCGCUCGACGGUGAGGGACGAAAGCUGGGGGAGCGAACCGGAUUAGAUACCCGGGUAGUCCCAGCUGUAAACGAUGCGCGUUAGGUGUAUCGGUGACUACGAGUUACCGAGGUGCCGAAGGGAAACCGUGAAACGUGCCGCCUGGGAAGUACGGUCGCAAGGCUGAAACUUAAAGGAAUUGGCGGGGGAGCAC
rnacentral:rRNA from 1 species